UCUCUACCCCUUCAUCUGCAUUCUUCUCUAGCAAGAACCCCCUCUCUAUUUUCUGGUUUUAUUUUUUCGAUUUCCGCUUCUAUAUAUUUUGGUGAUAUAUUUAUGUUGAUUAACAAAGGUAUAUUUUUCAUUUUGGUGAUGUUUUGAUUCAGCGUAUAGGUAUGAUUUUGAGAUAUGGAAGGUGGAUAUGGUGUAAAAAUGGCUUGAAUCAUUAGAUUUUAGAAGGUGGACUUUUGAGUAAAGGUUGGUGGAUAACUGCUUUGGCUUCCAUCACCAUUGUAUCUAACCAUCGCACAAGCACUACGACCACCGCCCAUAUCCCACCACUCAAUCUGUCUCUCUUGAUCUAUGAACCUUAGAUUAUUUGCCACUGAACAUUGUCUUCCUCCCAUGCUCUGACUUUGUGGUCUUUGUCUCUUCCUCUUUCUAUUUUUUUAUCACAGUUACAUAUGCAUUGUAUGCUUCAUAAUAGAUUUGGAUGUUCUAAUGGCUUGCUAAUCUUAUGUUUUUUGACAAUUUAUGUCAGUCUUGAACCCACUUCGACUGGUUUGAAAAAGAAGCCCAAUAAGUUUAAUAUUGCAGAUCUAUCAGUAAAAGAUCUCUAUUGACACACAUCUAGAAGUGGGGGAUAAAGUUUCAGGCAUCUGAUAUUGCAAUAAAACAAGAAGGUUAGGUUUGUGAUAGUUAUAAAAGAAGCACAUGUUGGCAAGGUCAAGUAAAUUGAUUUCAUUAUAUGGACCAUGGGGCUAAGCUACCUGUACACAUAAAAAAGUUCCAGUAAGCCUUUAUUUGUUUCAUUGUUGUUAUACGCGUGAUAUAGAUACCGUAGGGGGUGGGGGUCGAAGCUCAUAAGAAAAAAUAGAGAAUAUGAUCAUGUAAUAGAAAUGCAUGAAAGUAUGUGAUCAUUUUAAAAAUAUAUAACCUUUUGACUAGAUUUGAAUGUUAAUUAAAAGUUUAUAUAUUUUUUCGAUUGAUAUUUUGUUGUUGCUCACAUAAAAGAGAAAGUCUUCAUAUUUUUGGGUUAAUAAGUUACCCCAAAAUUCAUCGAUAGCGUCCUCGAACGGAAAAAUAAUUUGAUUCUAUUUUUCAUUUUUUGUUCAUUAUACAAUUUUAAAAAAUUUCGAUACUAUUUUUCUCUUUUCGUUCACAUUUCAUCAGAUCUGAAAAUUGCAGUAACAGGCUUGACAA